rnacentral:rRNA from 1 species
GACGGAGGAUGCAAGCGUUAUCCGGAAUUAUUGGGCGUAAAGCGUCCGCAGGUGGCUGUUCAAGUCUGCUGUCAAAGCGCAGAGCUUAACUCUGUACAGGCGGUGGAAACUGAAGAGCUAGAGUAUGGUAGGGGUAGAGGGAAUUCCCGGUGUAGCGGUGAAAUGCGUAGAUAUCGGGAAGAACACCAGUGGCGAAAGCGCUCUACUGGGCCAUAACUGACACUGAGGGACGAAAGCGUGGGGAGCAAACAGG